rnacentral:rRNA from 1 species
AAUAAGCGGAGGAAAAGAAACUAACAAGGAUUCCCCUAGUAACGGCGAGUGAAGCGGGAUGAGCUCAAAUUUAAAAUCUGGCAGUCUACGAUUGUCCGAGUUGUAAAUUCGAGAAGUGUUUUCCGCGGCGGCCUGUGUACAAGUCCCUUGGAAUAGGGCGUCAUAGAGGGUGAGAGUCCCGUCCUUGACACAGAUUACCGUUGCUUUGUGAUACACUCUCUAUGAGUCGAGUUGUUUGGGAAUGCAGCUCAAAUUGGGUGGUAAAUUCCAUCUAAAGCUAAAUACUGGCGAGAGACCGAUAGCGAACAAGUACCGUGAGGGAAAGAUGAAAAGCACUUUGGAAAGAGAGUCAAACAGUACGUGAAAUUGUUGAAAGGGAAACGAUUGAAGUCAGUCGUGCCUGCCUUGUUCAGCCGUCCUUGUGACGGUGUAUUCAUGGUUUGGCAGGUCAGCAUCACUUUGGGCGAGUCGACAAGGGAUUCGGGAAUGUGGCAUCCUCGGAUGUGUUAUAGCCCGUUUUCGCAUCGGCUUGGCUGGAGUGAGGAACGCAGUGCGCCCGCAAGGGUAGGUCUUCGGAUACUUUCGCACUUAGGAUGCUGGCGUAAUGGCUUUAAACGACCC